rnacentral:rRNA from 1 species
GCCUAAAGCGUCCGUAGCCGGCUCUGUAAGUUUCCGGUUAAAUCCAUUAGCUUAACUGAUGGGCCGCCGGAAAAACUGCAAAGCUAGGGAGUGGGAGAGGUAGACGGUACUCGGUAGGAAGGGGUAAAAUCCUUUGAUCUAUUGAUGACCACCUGUGGCGAAGGCGGUCUACCAGAACACGUUCGACGGUGAGGGAUGAAAGCUGGGGGAGCAAACCGGAUUAGAUACCCGGGUAGUCCCAGCUGUAAACGAUGCAGACUCGGUGAUGCACUGGCUUGUGGCCAGUGCAGUGCCGCAGGGAAGCCGUUAAGUUUGCCGCCUGGGAAGUACGUACGCAAGUAUGAAACUUAAAGGAAUUGGCGGGGGAGCACCACAAGGGGUGAAGCCUGCGGUUCAAUUGGAGUCAACGCCAGAAAUCUUACCCGAGGAGACAGCAGAAUGAAGGUCAAGCUGGAGACUUUACCAGACAAGCUGAGAAGUGGUGCAUGGCCGUCGCCAGCUCGUGCCGUGAGAUGUCCUGUUAAGUCAGGUAACGAGCGAGAUCCCUGCCUCUAGUUGCCACCAUUACUCUCAGGAGUAGUGGGGCGAAUUAGCGGGACCGCCACAGUUAAUGUGGAGGAAGGAAGGGGCCACGGCAGGUCAGUAUGCCCCGAA